GUUAUGGCACAUACAAAAAUCGAUAUAUUUUUGCUCACUAGGGCAAACGGACAAGACAGCUCCUGGCCAAAGGUGACCAUCCCAGAGACUCCAGCUGCUAAGCUGAAGCCGAAACAUCAUGACAUUGAAGAGAGGCACACUGGGAAACUGGAAUGAAUCACAGGGUUCAGAUAAGACAACUGCCACGACUCCUAGUACGGACCCUAGUACUGCAGAGAGAGAGAGGUUACGAAAGCCCAGGAUUUGGGGCCAUCUGCUGGAAGCUGGAAUCCUAAUGGGUUGUCAGGCAGGAACUGGGAUCAGGAAGAGGGGGGCUGUCCUGUAGAAAUGGUGCUACAGAGUAGAAAUGGCUUCUAC
ensembl:lincRNA